AACCGGGGCUAAUACCGGAUAUGAGCCUUGAUCGCAUGAUCGGGGCUGGAAAGUUUUUCGGUUGAAGAUGACUUCGCGGCCUAUCAGCUUGUUGGUGAGGUAAUGGCUCACCAAGGCGACGACGGGUAGCCGGCCUGAGAGGGCGACCGGCCACACUGGGACUGAGACACGGCCCAGACUCCUACGGGAGGCAGCAGUGGGGAAUAUUGGGCAAUGGAGGAAACUCUGACCCAGCGACGCCGCGUGAGGGAUGAAGGCCUUCGGGUUGUAAACCUCUUUCAGUAGGGAAGAAGCGAAAGUGACGGUACCUACAGAAGAAGCACCGGCUAACUAUGUGCCAGCAGCCGCGGUAAUACAUAGGGUGCAAGCGUUGUCCGGAAUUAUUGGGCGUAAAGAGCUCGUAGGUGGUUCGAUACGUCGGAUGUGAAAAUCAGGGGCUCAACCCCUGACCUGCAUCCGAUACGGUCGAGCUAGAGUUUGGUAGGGGAGACUGGAAUUCCUGGUGUAGCGGUGGAAUGCGCAGAUAUCAGGAGGAACACCGAUGGCGAAGGCAGGUCUCUGGGCCAAUACUGACACUGAGGAGCGAAAGCGUGGGGAGCGAACAGGAUUAGAUACCCUGGUAGUCCACGCCGUAAACGGUGGGCGCUAGUUGUGCGAACCUUCCACGGUUUGUGCGACGCAGCUAACGCAUAAGCGCCCCGCC
rnacentral:rRNA from 1 species